CCUACGGGAGGCAGCCGUGGGGGAUAUUGCACAAUGGGGGAAACUCUGAUGCAGCGACGCCGCGUGCGGGAAGCCGGUCUUCGGAUUGUAAACCUCUGUCUUUGGGGAAGAAAAUGACGGUACCUAACGAGGAAGCUCCGGCUAACUCCGUGCCAGCAGCCGCGGUAAUACGUAGGGAGCGAGCGUUGUCCGGAAUUACUGGGUGAAAAGGGGGCGUAGGCGGGCGAGAAAGUUGACUGUUAAAGCUACCGGCUUAACCGGGAGCUGCGUUCGAAACUUCUUGUAUUGAGUGAAGUAGAGGCAGGCGGAAUUCCUAGUGUAGCGGUGAAAUGCGUAGAUAUUAGGAGGAACACCAGUGGCGAAGGCGGCCUGCUGGGCUUUAACUGACGCUGAGGCGCGAAAGCGUGGGGAGCAAACAGGAUUAGAUACCCUAGUAGUC
rnacentral:rRNA from 1 species